rnacentral:tRNA from 1 species
CAAGAUAGAGCAUGAUAUAUGCAAUUCACUUACAAUGGAUAUAAAGAGUGUUGCUCUUAUCUUGA